GACGAACGCUGGCGGCGUGCUUAACACAUGCAAGUCGAACGGUGAAGCGCCUUCCUCUUUGGUGGGUGUGGACGAGUGGCGAACGGGUGAGUAACACGCGUGUAACCUGCCCCCUUCUUCUGGAUAACCGCAUGAACUUGUGGCUAAUACGGGAUAUUCUGGGUCGGUCGCAUGUUGGGUCUGGGAUAGGUAUUGGUUCGGUUGGGGAUGUGCUCGCGUCCUAUCAGCUUGUUGGUGGGGUGAUGGCCUACCAAGGCGGUGGCGUGUAGACGGCCUGGGAGGGUGGACGGUCUGACUGGGACUGAGACAACGCCCAGACUCCUACGGGAGGCAGCAGUGGGGAAUAUGGCACAAUGGGGGAAAGUCUGAAGCAGCGACGCCGCGUGAGCGAUGGCGGCCUUCGGGUUGUGAACCUCUUUCGCUAGUGAAGCAGGCCUGCCUCGUAUGUAGGUGGGUUGACGGUAGCUGGAGAAGAAGCGCCGGCUAACUACGUG
rnacentral:rRNA from 1 species